CCUACGGGAGGCAGCAGUGGGGAAUAUUGGACAAUGGGGGGAACCCUGAUCCAGCCAUGCCGCGUGUGUGAAGAAGGCCCUCGGGUUGUAAAGCACUUUCAGUGAGGAAGAACGCCUGGUGGUUAAUACCCAUCAGGAAAGACAUCACUCACAGAAGAAGCACCGGCUAACUCCGUGCCAGCAGCCGCGGUAAUACGGAGGGUGCGAGCGUUAAUCGGAAUUACUGGGCGUAAAGCGCGCGUAGGUGGCUUGAUAAGCCGGUUGUGAAAGCCCCGGGCUCAACCUGGGAACGGCAUCCGGAACUGUCAAGCUAGAGUGCAGGAGAGGAAGGUAGAAUUCCCGGUGUAGCGGUGAAAUGCGUAGAGAUCGGGAGGAAUACCAGUGGCGAAGGCGGCCUUCUGGACUGACACUGACACUGAGGUGCGAAAGCGUGGGUAGCAAACAGGAUUAGAUACCCCGGGUAGUC
rnacentral:rRNA from 1 species